ensembl:snRNA U6 U6 spliceosomal RNA
GUGCUCACUUCAGCAGAAUAUAUACUAAAAUUGGAACAAUACAGAGAAGAUCAACAUGACCCCUGCGUAAGAAUGACACCCAAAUGACCACAACAGUCAGGGCUGGUC